rnacentral:sRNA from 1 species
UGCCCUGGUGGUGCUUCUGGACGGAGACAAGGUCAAGGAGAAGAACCUGUUCGUCAGCACCACCAUCAUCGUAGUGUUCUUCACCGUCAUCUUCCAGGGCCUGACUAUCAAGCCCCUGGUGCAGUGGCUGAAGGUGAAGAGGAGUGAGCACCGGGAACCUCGGCUCAACGAGAAGCUGCACGGCCGCGCUUUCGACCACAUCCUCUCGGCCAUCGAGGACAUAUCCGGACAGAUCGGGCACAAUUAUCUCAGAGACAAGUGGUCCCACUUCGACAGGAAGUUCCUCAGCAGGGUCCUCAUGAGACGGUCGGCCCAGAAGUCUCGAGACCGGAUCCUGAAUGUCUUCCACGAGCUGAACCUGAAGGAUGCCAUCAGCUACGUGGCUGAGGUAGCAGAGCCGCUUGCUCUGCCGGGUCGGGGCUGCAGCAGGCUCCGGCACUGGCUGUGGGUGCCAUGGGGGCAGUGAGGAGAGGCCCCUGCACCCGCGUCCCAAGGCCAGGCCCACCCCAGCAGUUCACGGGAGGCUGAUGGGCCUUCUGAUGCCCUGGGAAUCCCAGGGGCUCUCGGGUAAACUGAGUCACAGAG